AGUGAACCACCCCACCUUCACCAAGCAUACAGCAAAUCCACCAAAUUCCGGGAUUCUUUUGCAGGGCCACAACAUGCCAACUUUCGUUUUCUAGUUGGUAAGAGUAUUGUAUCAGUAAGGUGUUGCAUCUCGGCGGCUGAAGAACAGGAAAUCUGGAUGAUUGACUUGGAGAUCUCUUAACCACUGAUCAGCUGCUCGCGAUAGGUUGUAUGCCAAUUGAUGCUCUACUCCACCAUUUCGCAUCCACAACGACGACCCGUUAAACUUGUAUGAAGCAAGUCCAAAAAUUCUUAAAGGAACCUUUUCG
rnacentral:misc_RNA from 1 species